GCUGCUGCUGGCGGGGAUCGCGCUGGUGGUCUUCCUGUGGUCGCGGAUCCGCCGGUACCUGCGGCGGCGCCGGCA
rnacentral:tRNA from 1 species